AAUAUUGGACAAUGGGGGCAACCCUGAUCCAGCAAUGCCGCGUGGGUGAAGAAGGCCNNNGGGUUNUCAAGCCCUUUCGUCCGNGAANAAAAGCCCUGUUCUAACAGAGCGGGGUCUUGACGUUACCGGCAAAAGAAGCACCGGCUAACUCCGUCACCGCAGCCGCGGUAAUACGGAGGGUGCGAGCGUUAAGCGGAAUUACUGGGUGAAAAGCGCACGUAGGCGGUGGCGUGAGUCGGAUGUGAAAGCCCCGGGCUUAACCUGGGAAUGGCAUGCGAUACCGCGUCGCUAGAGUUUGGGAGAGGGAAGGGGAAUUCCGGGUGUAGCGGUGAAAGGCGUAGAUAUCCGGAGGAACACCAGUGGCGAAGGCGCCUUCCUGGCCUAAGACUGACGCUGAGGUGCGAAAGCGUGGGGAGCAAACAGG
rnacentral:rRNA from 1 species